rnacentral:rRNA from 1 species
GAGCUUGCUCCGAUACCUUAGUGGCGAACGGGUGAGUAACGCGUGGGAAUCUACCUUACGAUGGGGAAUAACAGUUGGAAACGACUGCUAAUACCGCAUACGCCCUUAGGGGGAAAGGCUUCGGCCGUCGUUAGAGGAUCCCGCGUUCGAUUAGCUAGUUGGUAAGGUAAUGGCUUACCAAGGCUACGAUCGAUAGCUGGUCUGAGAGGAUGAUCAGCCACACUGGAACUGAGACACGGUCCAGACUCCUACGGGAGGCAGCAGUGGGGAAUAUUGGACAAUGGGGGAAACCCUGAUCCAGCGAUGCCGCGUGAGUGAAGAAGGCCCUAGGGUUGUAAAACUCUUUCACCCGUGAAGAUGAUGACUGUAGCGGGAGAAGAAGCUCCGGCUAACUCCGUGCCAGCAGCCGCGGUAAUACGGAGGGGGCUAGCGUUGCUCGGAAUUACUGGGCGUAAAGCGCGCGUAGGCGGCGAAUCCAGUCAGGCGUGAAAGCCCAGGGCUUAACCCUGGAACUGCGCUUGAUACUGAUUUGCUAGAAUUCGAGAGAGGGUAGUGGAAUUUCCAGUGUAGAGGUGAAAUUCGUAGAUAUUGGAAAGAACACCGGUGGCGAAGGCGGCUAUCUGGCUCGAUAUUGACGCUGAGGUGCGAAAGCGUGGGGAGCGAACGGGAUUAGAUACCCCGGUAGUCCACGCCGUAAACGAUGAGUGCUAGUUGUUGGGCAGCUUGCUGUUCAGUGACGUAGCUAACGCG